rnacentral:rRNA from 1 species
GAUGAACGCUGGCGGCGUGCCUAAUACAUGCAAGUCGAGCGAACGGACGAGAAGCUUGCUUCUCUGAUGUUAGCGGCGGACGGGUGAGUAACACGUGGAUAACCUACCUAUAAGACUGGGAUAACUUCGGGAAACCGGAGCUAAUACCGGAUAAUAUUUUGAACCGCAUGGUUCAAAAGUGAAAGACGGUCUUGCUGUCACUUCUAGAUGGAUCCGCGGUGCAUUAGCUAGUUGGUAAGGUAACGGCUUACCAAGGCAACGAUGCAUAGCCGCCCUGAGAGGGUGAACGGCCACACUGGAACUGAGACACGGUCCAGACUCCUACGGGAGGCAGCAGUAGGGAAUCUUCCGCAAAGGGCGAAAGCCUGACGUAGCAACGCCGCGUGAGUGAUGAAGGUCUUCGGAUCGUAAAACUCUGUUAUUUGGGAAGAACAUAUGUGUAAUUAACUGUGCACAUCUUGACGGUACCUAAUCAGAAAGCCACGGCUAACUACGUG